rnacentral:rRNA from 1 species
GAUGAACGCUGGCGGCGUGCCUAAUACAUGCAAGUCGAGCGAACAGAUGAGAAGCUUGCUUCUCUGAUGUUAGCGGCGGACGGGUGAGUAACACGUGGGUAACCUACCUAUAAGACUGGGAUAACUCCGGGAAACCGGGGCUAAUACCGGAUAAUAUUUUGAACCGCAUGGUUCAAUAGUGAAAGACGGUUUCGGCUGUCACUUAUAGAUGGACCCGCGCCGUAUUAGCUAGUUGGCAAGGUAACGGCUUACCAAGGCGACGAUACGUAGCCGACCUGAGAGGGUGAUCGGCCACACUGGAAAUGAGACACGGUCCAGACUCCUACGGGAGGCAGCAGUAGGGAAUCUUCCGCAAUGGGCGAAAGCCUGACGGAGCAACGCCGCGUGAGUGAUGAAGGUCUUCGGAUCGUAAAACUCUGUUGUUAGGGAAGAACAAAUUUGUUAGUAACUGAGCAAGUCUUGACGGUACCUAACCAGAAAGCCACGGCUAACUACGUGCCAGCCGCCGCCGUAA